rnacentral:rRNA from 1 species
UUAAGCGACUAAGCGUACACGGUGGAUGCCCUGGCAGUCAGAGGCGAUGAAGGACGUGCUAAUCUGCGAUAAGCGUCGGUAAGGUGAUAUGAACCGUUAUAACCGGCGAUUUCCGAAUGGGGAAACCCAGUGUGAUUCGUCACACUAUCAUUAACUGAAUCCAUAGGUUAAUGAGGCGAACCGGGGGAACUGAAACAUCUAAGUACCCCGAGGAAAAGAAAUCAACCGAGAUUCCCCCAGUAGCGGCGAGCGAACGGGGAGCAGCCCAGAGCCUGAAUCAGUGUGUGUGUUAGUGGAAGCGUCUGGAAAGGCGCGCGAUACAGGGUGACAGCCCCGUACACAAAAGCGCACGUGCUGUGAGCUCGAUGAGUAGGGCGGGACACGUGGUAUCCUGUCUGAAUAUGGGGGGACCAUCCUCCAAGGCUAAAUACUCCUGACUGACCGAUAGUGAACCAGUACCGUGAGGGAAAGGCGAAAAGAACCCCGGCGAGGGGAGUGAAAAAGAACCUGAAACCGUGUACGUACAAGCAGUGGGAGCACCUUCGUGGUGUGACUGCGUACCUUUUGUAUAAUGGGUCAGCGACUUAUAUUCUGUAGCAAGGUUAACCGUAUAGGGGAGCCGAAGGGAAACCGAGUCUUAACUGGGCGUUAAGUUGCAGGGUAUAGACCCGAAACCCGGUGAUCUAGCCAUGGGCAGGUUGAAGGUUGGGUAACACUAACUGGAGGACCGAACCGACUAAUGUUGAAAAAUUAGCGGAUGACUUGUGGCUGGGGGUGAAAGGCCAAUCAAACCGGGAGAUAGCUGGUUCUCCCCGAAAGCUAUUUAGGUAGCGCCUCGUGAACUCAUCUUCGGGGGUAGAGCACUGUUUCGGCUAGGGGGCCAUCCCGGCUUACCAACCCGAUGCAAACUACGAAUACCGAAGAAUGUUAUCACGGGAGACACACGGCGGGUGCUAACGUCCGUCGUGAAGAGGGAAACAACCCAGACCGCCAGCUAAGGUCCCAAAGUCAUGGUUAAGUGGGAAACGAUGUGGGAAGGCACAGACAGCCAGGAUGUUGGCUUAGAAGCAGCCAUCAUUUAAAGAAAGCGUAAUAGCUCACUGGUCGAGUCGGCCUGCGCGGAAGAUGUAACGGGGCUAAACCAUGCACCGAAGCUGCGGCAGCGACGCUUAUGCGUUGUUGGGUAGGGGAGCGUUCUGUAAGCCGUUGAAGGUGUGCUGUGAGGCAUGCUGGAGGUAUCAGAAGUGCGAAUGCUGACAUAAGUAACGAUAAAGCGGGUGAAAAGCCCGCUCGCCGGAAGACCAAGGGUUCCUGUCCAACGUUAAUCGGGGCAGGGUGAGUCGACCCCUAAGGCGAGGCCGAAAGGCGUAGUCGAUGGGAAACAGGUUAAUAUUCCUGUACUUGGUGUUACUGCGAAGGGGGGACGGAGAAGGCUAUGUUAGCCGGGCGACGGUUGUCCCGGUUUAAGCAUGUAGGCGGAACGAUUAGGUAAAUCCGGUCGUUUAUUAACGCUGAGGUGUGAUGACGAGGCACUACGGUGCUGAAGUAACAAAUGCCCUGCUUCCAGGAAAAGCCUCUAAGCAUCAGGUAACAUCAAAUCGUACCCCAAACCGACACAGGUGGUCAGGUAGAGAAUACCAAGGCGCUUGAGAGAACUCGGGUGAAGGAACUAGGCAAAAUGGUGCCGUAACUUCGGGAGAAGGCACGCUGAUAUGUAGGUGAAGCCCCUGCGGGUGGAGCUGAAAUCAGUCGAAGAUACCAGCUGGCUGCAACUGUUUAUUAAAAACACAGCACUGUGCAAACACGAAAGUGGACGUAUACGGUGUGACGCCUGCCCGGUGCCGGAAGGUUAAUUGAUGGGGUUAGCGGCAACGCGAAGCUCUUGAUCGAAGCCCCGGUAAACGGCGGCCGUAACUAUAACGGUCCUAAGGUAGCGAAAUUCCUUGUCGGGU